UACGUAGGGUGCAAGCGUUGUCCGGAAUUAUUGGGCGUAAAGAGCUCGUAGGCGGCUUGUCGCGUCGACUGUGAAAACCCGCGGCUCAACUGUGGGCUUGCAGUCGAUACGGGCAGGCUGGAGUUCGGUAGGGGAGACUGGAAUUCCUGGUGUAGCGGUGAAAUGCGCAGAUAUCAGGAAGAACACCCGUGGCGAAGGCGGCUCUCUGGGACGGUACUGACGCUGAGACGCGAAAGCGUGGGGAGCGAACAGG
rnacentral:rRNA from 1 species